CGUGAAACCGUUUAGGGGUAAACCUGAAAAACCCGAAAGGUCGAAGGGAGAAAUUCAUUCGCGUUUCGACGUAGGCGUGGAGCGGGAUUGAGUGACGGAAAAUGUGUGCUUGCACGGAUUUUUCGCGCCGCCCGUUUCUCGAACCAACGACGAACGCGUGCACUUUUCUCCUGGUAGGACGUCGCGAUCCGUUGGGUGUCGGUCUACGGCUCGCGGUGUAGCCCGUUUGUCAUUUAUUUGCGAACGGACCCGCGUUGAUCCCGACCGACUCGCUCGACGGUAUAAGAAAGGUUUGAGGCCGCUCUUCUGGAGCGUUCGACUCGCAGCAAGCGCGCCAGAUGCGUUGGCGAUCGGACCUAGUGCCGAUUCUGACCUCUGGUGACUGUUGGUUGCGAAGUUCUCGGACAGACCUCUCGACCGAUCUGCGACGCUAUAGCGUUGGGUACUUUCAGGACCCGUCUUGAAACACGGACCAAGGAGUCUAGCAUGUACGCAAGUCAUUGGGAAUCACUAAACCUAAAGGCGUAAUGAAAGUAAAGGUCUUCCUUGCGGAGGCCGAGGGAAGACGAGCGGUUUACCCUUAAAAGUGGCCGCUCUGCAUUCCCGGGGCGUCUCAUUCUCAUUGCGAGAAGAGGCGCACCAAGAGCGUACACGCUGGGACCCGAAAGAUGGUGAACUAUGCCUGGUCAG
rnacentral:rRNA from 1 species